GUAGGGACCUCUGGGAGAAACACUGAGCAACAGCCUCCUCCUCUGCUUACCUCCUCCAGGCUCAAGUCUGGGAGACCUACUCCAGGAGGCGCUGUUCCCAGAGUCUGUGCAGAAGCUCUGUCCUCCUACUCGGAGCACUUGGGAAGGCUGCAUCUGGCCUGUCUUCCUUUCCUGGUCUGAGGGGAGCUGGUGCCAGAAAGAAGUUGAAAAUGUCACUCUCUCUGCCUUGUGGAAUUGGGACAAGUAUUGUUCUGGGAAGAAGUGAGAAAAAGGUAAGGAAAGUGACACGGAGUCCAUCGGAAAAGCUCAAACUCCCCUGUGAGGAGAAUUGGCUGAGGAGCUACAGCCAUGGUGGCUGCCUACUGUUUACAUCCUAA
rnacentral:lncRNA from 1 species